rnacentral:rRNA from 1 species
CCUACGGGAGGCAGCAGUAGGGAAUCUUCCGCAAUGGGCGAAAGCCUGACGGAGCAACGCCGCGUGAGUGAUGAAGGUCUUCGGAUCGUAAAACUCUGUUAUUAGGGAAGAACAAACGUGUAAGUAACUGUGCACGUCUUGACGGUACCUAAUCAGAAAGCCACGGCUAACUACGUGCCAGCAGCCGCGGUAACACGUAGGUGGCAAGCGUUAUCCGGAAUUAUUGGGCGUAAAGCGCGCGUAGGCGGUUUUUUAAGUCUGAUGUGAAAGCCCACGGCUCAACCGUGGAGAGUCAUUGGAAACUGGGAAACUUGAGUACAGAAGAGGAAAGUGGAAUUCCAUGUGUAGCGGUGAAAUGCGCAGAGAUAUGGAGGAACACCAGUGGCGAAGGCGACUUUCUGGUCUGUAACUGACGCUGAUGUGCGAAAGCGUGGGGAUCAAACAGGAUUAGAUACCCUGGUAGUCCACGCCGUAAACGAUGAGUGCUAAGUGUUAGGGGGUUUCCGCCCCUUAGUGCUGCAGCUAACGCAUUAAGCACUCCGCCUGGGGAGUACGACCGCAAGGUUGAAACUCAAAGGAAUUGACGG